GCAUGUUCACAUGAUUAAAGGUAUUCCGGUAGACGAUGGGGAUGCGUUCCAUUAGAUAGUAGGCGGGGCAACGGCCCACCUAGUCUUCGAUGGAUAGGGGUUCUGAGAGGAAGGUCCCCCACAUUGGAACUGAGACACGGUCCAAACUCCUACGGGAGGCAGCAGUGAGGAAUAUUGGUCAAUGGGCGAGAGCCUGAACCAGCCAAGUAGCGUGAAGGAUGACUGCCCUAUGGGUUGUAAACUUCUUUUAUAAAGGAAUAAAGUCGGGUAUGCAUACCCGUUUGCAUGUACUUUAUGAAUAAGGAUCGGCUAACUCCGUGCCAGCAGCCGCGGUAAUACGGAGGAUCCGAGCGUUAUCCGGAUUUAUUGGGUUUAAAGGGAGCGUAGAUGGAUGUUUAAGUCAGUUGUGAAAGUUUGCGGCUCAACCGUAAAAUUGCAGUUGAUACUGGAUAUCUUGAGUGCAGUUGAGGCAGGCGGAAUUCGUGGUGUAGCGGUGAAAUGCUUAGAUAUCACGAAGAACUCCGAUUGCGAAGGCAGCCUGCUAAGCUGCAACUGACAUUGAGGCUCGAAAGUGUGGGUAUCAAACAGGAUUAGAUACCCUGGUAGUCCACACGGUAAGCGAUGAAUACUCGCUGUUUGCGAUAUACAGCAAGCGGCC
rnacentral:rRNA from 1 species